CCUUUUCGGGGGUGGGGAAUAGUGGCGAACGGGUGAGUAACACGUGGGCAAUCUGCCCUGCACUCUGGGACAAGCCCUGGAAACGGGGUCUAAUACCGGAUACUGACCUGCCAAGGCAUCUUGGCGGGUCGAAAGCUCCGGCGGUGCAGGAUGAGCCCGCGGCCUAUCAGCUUGUUGGUGAGGUAAUGGCUCACCAAGGCGACGACGGGUAGCCGGCCUGAGAGGGCGACCGGCCACACUGGGACUGAGACACGGCCCAGACUCCUACGGGAGGCAGCAGUGGGGAAUAUUGCACAAUGGGCGCAAGCCUGAUGCAGCGACGCCGCGUGAGGGAUGACGGCCUUCGGGUUGUAAACCUCUUUCAGCAGGGAAGAAGCGAAAGUGACGGUACCUGCAGAAGAAGCGCCGGCUAACUACGUGCCAGCAGCCGCGGUAAUACGUAGGGCGCAAGCGUUGUCCGGAAUUAUUGGGCGUAAAGAGCUGGGGGGGCGGGGGGGGCGCGUCGGUUGUGAAAGCCCGGGGCUUAACCCCGGGUCUGCAGUCGAUACGGGCAGGCUAGAGUUCGGUAGGGGAGAUCGGAAUUCCUGGUGUAGCGGUGAAAUGCGCAGAUAUCACGAGGAACACCGGUGGCGAAGGCGGAUCUCUGGGCCGAUACUGACGCUGAGGAGCGAAAGCGUGGGGAGCGAACAGGAUUAGAUACCCUGGUAGUCCACGCCGUAAACGGUGGGCACUAGGUGUGGGCAACAUUCCACGUUGUCCGUGCCGCAGCUAACGCAUUAAGUGCCCCGCCUGGGGAGUACGGCCGCAAGCUAAAACUUCAAGGGAAUUGACGGGGGCCCGCACAGCGCGAGCAUUGGUGGCUUAUUCGACGGCACGCGAAGAAACCUUACCAAGCUUGACCAUACCACCGGGAAGGC
rnacentral:rRNA from 2 species